rnacentral:lncRNA from 1 species
CCUUCCCAGUUUUGUUUGUGGCAGAGUUCAGAAGCCCUCCCCAUGGCUCACUCUACCUUCCCCCACUUCAGAUAUUAACCUGGACAUCAUGCCUUCCAAACUUUAAAUGAGCUGUGCGAUGUUUUAUUACAUUUCUCAUGUGGCUAAGCUUAGUGUGGCUUUUAAGUGUUCCUCGGUAUGCCGUGCUUACGCAAGUUAUUUUCUGCUGUGGAUUGUUGAUGCUUCAGCAGCAGAUAGAAUGAUGUGCCCUGAAUUCCAAUGAGGAGAAGGUUUUGGUUUAUUUUGGUUUGGUUUUUUUGAGUUCAGAGGAAGAAUUCUAGCUAAGUAAUGGCCAGCAGGAGCUGUGUGUUGCUGUGCUUUGUCCUUCCUGAAGACAGAUCUGCUCCAGGCUUGCAUAAUUUUUCAGAGCUGAUGGAAAUCAUAUCACAGUUUACUAUGGCUGCAAAUGAUUAUUCCAUGGGAAUAAAAACAAGAAAUGCUGUUAAUUCCAUUAUUCAGCUUUUAAGCCUGUCUACUUUGAGCCAAGCUGUCUGACCAUACUUGGAUUAGUCAUUGACUUCUUGGUUAUGAAUUUAUGGGAAAUAACAGAGAGCAAUAAUAAUAAUAAAAAAAAAAACUUCAGAUUGCUCUUGUUUGGGGUAUCGUUAACAGUAAUUUUAGGAAAACUUUAAUAUCCUGUUCCCUUUUCAUACAGGAAAAGUUAGGCAAUAGUGCAUAGAAAUAACUGAGCAGUAAAUUAUCAAGGGGCAUUCAAUUUAAAUGGAAAUAAAUCCAUAAAACUCUUGCAUAUAUCCCCAUGUUCUAGGGGAAUAGAAGUCCACAUGACUUAUUUAUAUGAAAGAAUUUAUUAGGUAUGCAUACUAAAAAAAAAAAAAAAAUACCUCCUAGGCUACAGAAAGAAUAUAGUGUUAGUACUGUUAACACUGCUUUAGCAAGUUGUGAUGCAAAGAACAGGCAAAAAAAGUGAGUUUUUCCUUUUCCAUGUCUUAUUUUAUUCUUCAUUGUAUCAUCCUUGAUUUUCUGUGAUAGAUUAUACUGCUGGUUCCAAAAUGCACUUUAGGAGAAAGCCCUGUCCAAGCAUUCAGUUCACACUGUCACUCAGUCUCCUGCUCACUUCUGAUAUGUUCCUUCAGGCAACUAUAAGAAUCUAUUUCAG